rnacentral:misc_RNA from 1 species
UGCUUUUAUAACAUGAGCCAUUAUGAAGAAGAGGAAACUGGAAAUCGGCUUGCUUUAUGGGAGGAUUUUGAGUUGAGAGGAUUCCUGCCACUUCUUCCUGCACAAACCAUUUUGGACUUUUCAAGGAAGCACUCUUUCGGAAGUGAAGGCAGUAAGGAAAGGAUAGCUCGUGUUAAAAGGAUUCUAGCUGCUGGAAGGGCUUUAGCAAAUAUAGCUAGGAUUGAUCAAAAAACAGUAUUUUAUGAUUCAAGGAUGAAGAAAUUU